rnacentral:rRNA from 1 species
AUUGACCGCUGGUGGCAGGCCUAACACAUGCAAGUCGACCGUGUGGCGGCCGGGUGAGUAAUGUCUGGGAAAUUGCCCGACGGAGGGGGAUAACUAAUGGAAACGGUAGCUAAUACCGCAUACCAUCGGAUGUGUCCCGCUGGGUUCAGCUAGUAGGUGGGGUAACGGCUCAUCUUGGCGACGAUCCCUUGCUGGUCUGAGAGGAUGACCAGCCACACUGGAACUGAGACACGGUCCAGACUCCUACGGGAGGCAGCAGUGGGGAAUAUUGCACAAUGGGCGCAAGCCUGAUGCAGCCAUGCCGCGUGUAUGAAGAAGGCCUUCGGGUUGUAAAGUACUUUCAGCGAGGAGGCGUUACUCGCAGAAGAAGCCCCGGCUAACUCCGUGCCAGCAGCCGCGGUAAUAC